GCCCGGAUCGUCUAGUGGCCUAGGAUAAAGCCCUGUCACGGCUUCGACGCGGGUUCAAAUCCCGCUCCGGGCG
rnacentral:tRNA from 1 species